rnacentral:tRNA from 2 species
GCGGGAAUAGCUCAGUUGGUAGAGCAUCAGCCUUCCAAGCUGAGGGUCGCGGGUUCGAAACCCGUUUCCCGCU